rnacentral:sRNA from 1 species
GCUAGGCAUGGUGGUGCAUGCCUGUAAUUCCAGCUUCUCAGGAGGCUGAGGCAGGAGGAUCACAAGUUCAAAGCCAGCCUCAGCACUAAAGCAAAGGUGCUAAGCAACUCAAUGAGACCCUGUCUUUA